rnacentral:piRNA from 1 species
UGGGGUGGAUUAAAUUUUAGCAAACUCUGCU